GACGAACGCUGGCGGCGUGCUUAACACAUGCAAGUCGAACGGAAAGGCCCUGCUUUUGUGGGGUGCUCGAGUGGCGAACGGGUGAGUAACACGUGAGUAACCUGCCCUUGACUUUGGGAUAACUUCAGGAAACUGGGGCUAAUACCGGAUAGGAGCUCCUGCUGCAUGGUGGGGGUUGGAAAGUUUCGGCGGUUGGGGAUGGACUCGCGGCUUAUCAGCUUGUUGGUGGGGUAGUGGCUUACCAAGGCUUUGACGGGUAGUCGGCCUGAGAGGGUGACCGGCCACAUGGGGACUGAGAUAGGGCCCGGACUCCUACGGGGGGCAGAAGGGGGGAAUAUUGCACAAGGGGCGGAAGCCUGAGGCAGCAGCCCCGCGGGCGGGAUGACGGCUUUCGGUUUGUAACCCCUUUUCGCCUGUGACGAAGCGUGAGGGACGGUAAGGGGUAAAGAAGCCCCGGCUAACUCCGUG
rnacentral:rRNA from 1 species